rnacentral:rRNA from 1 species
AUGCUUUCUAUGUCUUGUUGCCAUGAUAAAAAUGUAUCUAUUUCCUCGAGUUGUUGUGCUAACAAUGUAGAGGAAACCCAACACUCCAUGGAACAAGAUGUGGUCUGGAACGGUGCUUCAAGGGAUCCUACAUCAUCAUCGAUUGCUUUUUGCCUUAUGGCCAAGGCUUCAAAGGUAUCUCCCACUUUGAAUCCCAAUGUAUCUUGUGAUAAUAUUGAUGAUGGCAAGAGUGAUGAUGAUGUCGAUUAUGAUGAAGAGAAUGAUGAUGUUGCCUCCUUAAAAGUUAAGGGGGGAAUAAUUUUUAAAGCUCUUCUUAAGAAUAAAAUUGCUCGUUCCAACUUCAUGGAAAUCAUGUCUAUUGCUAUUGAGGGCAAGAAAUAUAUUGAUGAGUUGGAAUCUUGUCUUGAGGAGCAUGAGGUCGCCAUUGAUAAAAUGGAAGGUCAUGAGCAUGAUUACGCUAAUGAGAUUGCGGACCUCUCUCAAGCUCUUGAACUUGAACAAACCACCAAGGAAUCUCUUGAGGAGACUUUUGCUCUAGAGUUAUCUAGAGUGAAGGAAUAUCAUGAUAGAGCUCUUGAGGUGGCCAAUGUCUUUGAAACUAAAAAUGCUAAGCUUGAAGUUGCUCAUGCUAGACUCCUUGAGGAUUUUGAGCAGCUCGAAAAUGGCUCAAGGGUCAUCAAGGGUGAGCUCAUCAAACUCACCGAGUCUCAUGCUCAACUUGAAGCUUCUUAUUUAAAAGAGCUUGCCAAGUUGCCUUCUCCUCUUGUUGUUAAUGAUGAUGCUUGUGCUACUAACUCUAUUUCUUGUGAAGCAUCCAUUUUAAAGGAGAAUGUUGAGCUAAGGGCUCAACUUGAGUUGCUAUUAGCAAUUAUGGGAAAUUGGAAGAAAGUCAUGAAAAGCUUUCUAGCUCUCAUGAUGAUCUUCUUGUAUCCCAUAAUGUGCUAA